UGAAAUCUGUUUUUAGGACACAGAGGGGAAAAAAACAAACAUAAUAUUCUUUCUUACUGUAACUGACACCUACAGAAAGAAAUCUAUUCAAGGUCUAUCUCUAGCCUCAAAUUCAUGGUGACUCCCUUCAAUCUUGGUAUCUUAAAAGUAAAUGCCAGAAUUCAAAUAAAAUGAAACUGUCAAUGUUCAGUUGAUAUUACUUGCUGGAAGACAAGAUCAAUACCACAAAAGUAAAUUAAGAGCCGCAGAGAAAGAAGCAAAAGAAAAAAACCCUUUUAAAAUAAGUGAGAUGCAUUAGAAGCUAGUACAGUUCCAAAUCAAAAAAUCUAAAUGCAAGAAGUUUUCCUCCUGCACUGCAGGUAAAAUAAUUUCCUUCACCCCCGCCAAUAUUCAGCACAGUAAUUGAUUUUGUGUGCUCAAGAGUUCCAUUAUGAUAUAAUAGGCCUGCAUCUGUUCUAUUACUAACAGAAGAAUUGAUCAGAAUACUUUUCUUGCAGGUAAUUGCAUAGGACUCAUGAGCUCAAACCUAUUCUGUAUUUCCAUAUGGAAAUGAAGUAACAUUAGGAGUAUAAAGCAACAAGAAUAUGAACAGGCAACAGAUCCUAAAAUGUUUACAAAAAUUUGUUCAAUGGGGAAAGGGCAAUCAGAGAGAAAGGCAUAUUCCUCUGAAGGAACUAAGUUAAAGGAUCCAAUCUUUCAAUAUGAAUGACAAUUAUACACUUCAUAAAUGGCAAACAUUCAAGAAACUUGAACACUUUCCCUCAGUGACACAGUACACUCCUGCAGGCCUUAUUCUGAUUGUGUUCUCAACUACAGUGUAUUAAGACUUACCAGCAGAAGCAGCAAGAACAUCUUUACAAAGCUUCAGCCAAAAUGAGAGCUUCUCAACUGCCAUUGAAUGCAACAGCAUAUUCUGAUACUUCAGCAGCUUCUCUUUGCACAAGCUGAUGUAAGCAAGCUACCACUGCACGUCUCAGUAAUUUUGAAUGAAAGUUCAUCUUUCUAUGGAUGGAGGGGGGAAGAUCACUCAUCUGACCACAGAUUCUUUGCCUCUCCUGCUUUUCUUACCUGAAUAAAGAAUGCAAUGGUGGAUAUCCACAUGUGUGGAUUUGCAUGCUACUUCCCCUUAAGACUUCAAAAUGCAAUGCAAAGGGGGACCAUCACACCUUGUUCUCCAAAUUGCAGACAUUUAAACUCAUGAAAAAUAACUAGCUAAGGGUCACCUUGCAAGUAAACAGCACAGUGAAGUGCAAAUUUCAGAUCCAGUAACUCAUUCUGCCUCCCUAAUGAGAUGCUGAUUUAGUGGGUGGAAGCUACAUGGAUGGGUGUCGAGUUUUAUAAAUGCAGAAUUCUGCUUGUGCAAUCAUCUUCUCACAGACCUGCAAUGCACACACUCAAAAAACUUUGUUUAUGACAUUCUUCAAAGACAUAGUGACGUUACUGAAUUGUCAGUGCCAACAAUAUUGGCCUUAGUUGUACAAGUUCAUGAGAAUGUGAAAAGGUCACCAAUGUGAGGCCACUGAUUUUGGUGGAAUGCUCUCCCAGGAAGCCUACAGGCAUUUCUGGGAUAGAGGGGAACACACUUAGAUGCAUGAACAGACAUACUCAAGCCUUCACCUCUACUUCUUAAUUGAAUAAUUUACUAUUAUGAAGUUCAUAAACUGCUGCAUGAAGUGCUUUGAGACAACUUGUAAAAACAAUAAAAAUCAGUAACAUUACAUAGACAAGACAACUUUGUCAUGACAUCCUCCUUAUUAGUAGGUAUUUGAUAUGAGUAGAGAGAUAGAAGCAGACUGUACAUGGACUUACAAAUGCUCCUAAAUGCUGAUACACUCUCCAAGCAAGAGACUGACUGACAUAGUUUGUUGUGAUUUUAUCAAUGUAUGAAAACCUAUGUUUUACCCAACAAAGAGAAAAUAAUUGCUAGUGUAUGUUAAAACAACACCAGAUUAGUUCCAGCACUUCCGCAACUAGCAGAUCCACAGUGUGGGGCAGAAAAACCUUCAGUUUUCCCUAGCUCCCACAAUCAUGUUUCUAGUCAAAGUAAAUAAACAAAACGUAAGGAAUCUAAACUGUAAACAAAAUUAAUGUAUGUUCAGUAUGGAUACACAAGUGCUACCCAGUGGAAGAUGUGAAUAAGAACUGUGUUGAAAUAGAUCAGAUUAAAACUUAACUGUCUAUGGAUUUUUGUUUCUCUAUGAUUGACAGUGUGACAAGAAGGUACUAAAAAAAAAAAAAAGC